rnacentral:lncRNA from 1 species
AUCACUUAUGGUUUACCAGCUAGAAAUGCAUAUCACUUAUAUCAUAUAUAAAAGGGGGGAUAACUCUCAUAUGGAGUCUCCGGAUAGCUCGGUCAAAACCAAACAGAACAUCCUGAGGAUAUAACGAGCAAUUUGGAAAAAUAAAUUUGUCGGUUUCUUAUACGGUUGCGAAGCCUUAGAGGACACAAGAAAAACAGUGUUCGGGGAGAUAACUCUUACAAGGUAAAGUUUUUUGUUACGCGGUGUCAGUUUCAGAAGCGCAU